rnacentral:lncRNA from 1 species
CAAAAUGCAAGCCUGGAUCUCAUAGGACACUGCAUUAGGUGCCAAAAGACUCCUCCGGGGAUUGGCUUGCCACGCUCCACAUCCUCACACUCUGCUGGGAUUGCAACUGUCUGCCCGGCCCCAGCUGGUGGCCCUGCACUGGGAAGGAGUCAGAACAGGGGCUGUGGAAGAAUGAGAACAAAUCAAAGAAAACAGACUGAUUAAACUGGAGGAAGAAAGAAAUUUCCUCAGGAGAAAGGAUCCUUUCCAUCUGGACAACUGACAGGAGAUAAGAGAAAGACGAUAGGACCAUCUCAGCCUGAAUGGUGACACUUGUAACUUCUCAUAUUCCACGGCAAGAACUAGUCUUUUGGUCCUACCUAGAUGCAGACUCUACCACAUACAUCAACAAACAUUUCCUGAGUGCUAAUAUGUGCUGAGGCCUGCCCUGAUGCAAGGGAUACAGAAAUGAACAAAACAUAGUUCCAGUCUUUUCAGAGCUUUUAAUAGCACAGUUUUUCAUCUGGAUUCCAGAACCCCUAUCUAUACAUGUGGCUUCAAUGGGGAAGAUUGCUCAGUCCUUAUGCCAUCCUCUGGGUCUUGAUAUGUUUGCUUGACUGUACCUUGGCCCACCAGGUCCCUGGGUGUCCUGAAAUGGUCUGUGCGGAAUUGAGACUGUCACAUGGGCCAUUUGAGCAUCACUUUGGCGCUCUUGCAGAUGCAUGGCCUCCAGGUGCAAGGUGGUACAAUCACUUCAUCACUAUCAAAGGCCUCCUGUGUUCCUCCCAGCACUUCUAUGUCAUCUACUACUUAGAGAUCUUGGAAUUCACAGUUGCAUUCUCUGCAUCAUUCUGAUGUGCUAGAUCCAAUGAAGUUGUCAAGCCCAAUUGCCUAGGCCACCUGCCUUCAUCUUUGUUACUCAACCAUUCCCACAUCAUGGUGGACAGGAAUUGCUAAGCUUUAAGUAAGGGACAGACGUCAGUUUGGGGAUCAAAUGAAGGCCCAUGCUACAAAACAUUGCGUCAAUUCCAAAAGGAACUAAUGAGAAAGAAGAUUAAAUAUCACGAGUAUCUAAAGUUCAUUUCAGUGGAUACUCAAGGAAUUGGAUUUAUACCCUUGUCUUUGAUUCAGAGUUCUUGUCUCCCAAAUAAAAACAGUGAAGCUGUUUUUUCCUUGAAAUGAAGGAUGGUCCAACAACCGGUUUUGUUUGUUUGCUUGCUUGUUUGUUUGUUUUCAUAACAUGUUUGAGUAAUUCUUCAUAUUAAAGCCAUCUGGAUUUCCUCUUUUUUCUGAACUCUGCUUCUCUUUCC